rnacentral:rRNA from 1 species
GAUGAACGCUGGCGGCGUGCCUAAUACAUGCAAGUCGAGCGAACAGACGAGGAGCUUGCUCCUCUGACGUUAGCGGCUGACGGGUGAGUAACACGUGGAUCACCUACCUAUAAGACUGGGAUAACUUCGGGAAACCGGAGCUAAUACCGGAUAAUAUAUUGAACCGCAUGGUUCAAUAGUGAAAGACGGUUUUGCUGUCACUUAUAGAUGGAUCCGUGCCGCAUUAGCUAGUUGGUAAGGUAACGGCUUACCAAGGCAACGAUGCGUAGCCGACCUGAGAGGAUGAUCGGCCACACUGGAACUGAGACACGGUCCAGACUCCUACGGGAGGCAGCAGUAGGGAAUCUUACGCAAUGGGCGAAAGCCUGACGGAGCAACGCCGCGUGAGUGAUGAAGGUCUUCGGAUCGUAAAACUCUGUUAUUAGGGAAGAACAAAUGUGUAAGUAACUAUGCACGUCUUGACGGUACCUAAUCAGAAAGCCACGGCUAACUACGUG